CUCCCCGAGGUGAUGGAUGUGUCUGUUCAGGUUGCUCUAGUGCUGUCCAUGCCUAGUUCUGCUACUGAAAACAGACUCACCACUUCUACUCACUCAGAUCUGCCUCCUUUCUGACUUUAGACAGAUUUGCAUGUGCUCACAGUGAAAUGCACAUCAAACUGAAAAAAUUUCCCUUUUAUGCUACUGAAAGAUACCCAGCCAAUCUGAGGAGCCACACAACUGCUCAGCCAAAAGUUCCUUCUGUGGCCACUGGGCUAAGAAGAUGAGGGCUUUUAAAAAGCAAAGCUUGAAUUCCUGCCAGAGGUGAAUGGAUGAAGGUAUGGCUGGUCUAACUUUGUAUUGGGACUCAGAUGCUUAUUAUUGUUACUGCUUUCAGGAGUUCUUUAGGUAAUCAGUAGUGAAGUUGCAACAAGAAUGCCAAGGGUAAUCAAGAGAGCCUUCAUGAGCUUGGAGUGACUGGACACAUUUUUUAUCCUCUGAACUUCUCCCGGAUAAGCUCACCUUGUUCUGUGAGGUCUUAAAUGAGGGCCAUUUAUUAAGUCUGAAAUGUCUUCAACACUUUGAUGAAUCUAAGAAGCUCUUGCGGAACUGAGACAACCAGGAAGCAUUUUAUUUCAUGCUCAGAUUUUUAAUUGCUUCCUUCUUAGAAGAACAAAGAAAUCUCCUACAGACUGAGAGCUAACAGCUGAUAUACUGGAGGAAAGUGCAGUCUCUGCUCCCAUUUGCUUAACCGUGGCUCAUGACAGCUUCCAAGAGAUCCCCUUUCCUCACCAGGAAGCUCUGGAGCACCACCCACUUAUUUAAAAAUUAUUUUCUAUUUGAGGCUGUGUCACAAAGAGCUGAUAGAACCUUUUUGUAUCCUUGAUUACCAUUGAGCCAUUAGGGAAAUCCCUACCAAACGGAACAAAUGCAGAGCAGAAAUUUUCACACAAUUUUUUGUUGAUAUUAUUGCAAAGCCUGUUCAGUGACAACUGUGAGAUUAUUUGGAAUAAUAUUUUACUGUAUUGUCUGUACAGUAAAAUACAAUGCAAACCAUAGUCACAGUCAUCCCUAGAUGACACCCAAGGUGUUAUAUCAGGCAGGUUCCCCAAAAUUACAGCAAGCAAGAUGCCAGGUUAUUUUCUAAUCUUGAAAGAAGGUACCCUUGUUUCACUAUGCAUCAGUCCAGUGCUACAAUGCUGGUUUUUAUCAUGCCAAAAUGUUACAUGUAACUUUUUAUUGUGUUUUACAUUCAAAAUGCACUAUCAUUCUGGACUUGGUUAGGGUAUAAUAUCAAAGUUUAAUUUUUACAACAAUUUAACACGUUUUGUCACAUAGAUCUAAGCUAAAGAGAUGCUUAAUUUCUGUUUUCUGGCAUACUAACAUCUCUAAAAGUAAACAGCAUGUCCAUAGUUUACUGUUCAUUAAAGCUUAAACUAAACAAUAAUCAGUCUGUGAGAUCCAGGCAUUUAAAGUCAGUUUUGUAAUUUUCUUCAGUUUACUUGUUUAUACUGUAGCUCAGCAGUUAAGGCAGUUUCAGCCUGUGAUAGAGAUCAUUACUGAAUGUUAUUCUCUGGUGUUUCAUUGACAAUUCUCUGUAUAACACACACCUAUGGCUAUAACUAUAACUAGAAAGGCUAUAACUGUGCUAUAGCCUUUCUAAAGGAAACUUAGUUUUAUAGUUCUGUAAACACUUUUAUUCUAAAACAACACUUCUUCAAUUAUUUUACCAGUUAUUAAAAUAGUAAAUUGUUAUUAAAUUAUUUUACUUAUUAUUUUUGAUAUAUUGGCUUUUGAAUUUACAUUUCCGGGUCUUAGGUGGUUUUUUUUUUCUUUGUAGUUAUUCUUAGUUUGAAAGGCUCUACUAUUUUUAAUCAAAAUAAAGAAAAAUUAUGGGCAUUCCCCUAAUUGGAGAAAAUAUUGUAUCAUAAUUGAAUAAACUCUUACAAUGCCUUGCCAGAA